rnacentral:tRNA from 1 species
GCAGCCGUCGUCUAGUCUGGCUAGGACAUCAGCCUUCCAAGCUGACAGCGCGGGUUCAAAUCCCGCCGGCUGCA